GCCUUUGUAGCGCAGUGGUUAACGCGUUCGGCUGUUAACCGAAAGAUCGAGAGUUCGAGUCUCUCCAAAGGCG
rnacentral:tRNA from 2 species